CUAAAAAAUAAAUAUUUAAAAAAAAAUUUCAUCAGCUGUGUCACCAUAGCCUUGUCAGCACCUUACAUUAUUAGCAAUGUUUUAUUUGGUUUUUCCUUCUUAGUAUUAAGUUGGCAAGUGUAGUGGUAUUUCAUUGUUUUGAUUUGUUUUUUUUAAAUGGGUGCUGGGAGUUGAACUCAAGGGCUCUCAACUACUGAGUCACAUCCCCAGCCCUAUUUUGUAUUUUAUUUAGAGACAGGGUCUCACUGAGUUGCUUAGUGCCUCACCACUGCUGAGGCUGGCCUUGAACUCGUGAUUCUCCUGUCUCAGCCUCCUCAGCUGUUGGGAUUACAGGUAUGCACCACCACGCCCGGCUAGUGCCUCACUUUAGCUGAGGCUGGCUUUGAACCCAUAAUCCUCCUGUCUCAGCCUCCCGAGCCACUGGGAUUACAGGUGUGUACCACUGUGUCUGGCUCAUUGUGGUUUUAAUUCGUAUUUUUCUACCGUCUGAUGAUAUUAAGCAUCUUUUCAUGUUUUUUGAUGACUUAUAUAUAUAGAAUACACACACACAUGUAUAUGCAUAUACAUAUAUUUAAGUGCAUGUUUCUGUCUUGUCCAUUAAAAAACAAUAGUCGAGGGGCUGGGGCUGUAGUUCAGUGGUAGACACUUGCCUCGCAGGUGUGAGGCCCUGAGUUCGAUCCUCUGCACCGCAUAAAAAUAAAUGAAAAAAAAAAUAAAGAUAUUGAAAAAAAAAAACAAUAGGGGAAACUAGGUGUGUAGUUCAGUGGUACAGAAGGUGUUUAGCACAUGUGAGGCUCUGAGUUCAAUCCUCAGAAACAAAAAAUAGUUUGUUUCUGCUGUAUUAAUUUGUAGAAAUUAUUUGGUUUUUUUUUCUUUCCCUUUUUUUUUUUUUUGGUACCAGAAAUUAAAACUCAGGGGAACUUGACCACUGAGCCAUAUCCCCAGCCCCAUUUUAUAUUUUAUUUAGAGACAGGGUCUUACUGAGUUGCUCUUAGCGCCUUGCUUUUGCUGAUGCUGGCUUUGAACUCUCCAUCCUCCUGCUUCAGGCUCCCGAGCUGCUGGGAUUACAGGCAUGUGCAACUGUGCCCGGCUCAUGUUUUUUUCAGGUUUUAUAUCAAUUUUAUGAUGGCCUCCAAACACAUAUUAAGUAUUUCCUCUUUGUUCUUUGGAAGAAUGUCCCGACCAGCAGGACACAUCAACGUGGGCAGCGAACCUAGAUGGGGAGGAAUGAAGGGACAAGAGACACAGAAGGAUGACAGCAAGACAAGAGUUCUGAUCAAGCUGCAAACUUUUAUUGUUCACACAGGGGUAUUUAUAUGCUGGGGAUGGGGAAGCUCUCUUAUCGGCAGUUGCUGGAUGUCUGCACAAGGUGAGAUAACCGCAGGAUGUUUCAGGAAGAUAGGUUUCAGGAAGAUAGGUGGCCGCAGGAUGUCUCAGGGAGAUAGAUAGCUGCAGGAUGCCUCCCAGGCAGGAUGUCUCCCAGGGGGCUGUCAGGCUAAUCUUUGAAGGAGAAUUUCCUUCUAGUCCCUGACAUUUUCCCCCUUUCUUGUAUAAAAUAUUUGACCAUACCUUAUUGGCCAUGUUUUUAGGGGGUGAUAGAGGCUCUGUUCCUCUAGAAGGCCUUAGAAUAUCUCCUGAUCCGAGCGAGCGUCUUCACUAGGAGAUUUCGUGGUGGCCUUGGCAUGUUUUUGGAGGAGACGGCUUUGAGGGGGGAGCAUGCCAACCGCCAUGCACCAGAGCGUGUCACUCAGAGGUCUUGGGUUUUGGGAUCCGUGGUUCCAUCCUCCUGCAGUCCUUCCUGCACCCUCUGUCAUUAUGGCCUAAAGUCCUCACUCCAUGGGUGCGUCCUCCCCCAAGCGGAGGGGCCCAUGGAGGAGCGAACCCUUAUGGCAAGGGCAGGAAGAUGGUUGGUCAGAGCUGUUACUUAUACUUUUAUAUAAGAAAGAGAGAUCUGUGGGGAUGUAAACUUAAGAAAUAAGCCUGAAAGAAGGGUAGAACAUCCUUUUAAAUGUUGGCAGCGCAGUCUUCCAUCUCCAGAAGAUGAUAGUGGACCUGUAUGGGCUUAGAGGCCAAAAUAUUAAUCUGUUCUUUAAUAAAUUGUACCAGCCUGUUUAUAAUGCAGGGUCCUAUGGACACCAUUAAAAGCAAACCCAACAAAGGGCCUAAUAAGGGAAGAAGGUAGGGUAAAAAUCCAUUAAGCCCAGUCCAGAGGGGAUUUUCAAAUAGUUCCCUUCUUCUCUUUUCUAGAUCUUCUUGAAGCUGCUUAAUUUUAGUGCGUACUAUGCCUGAUUUAUUGGCAUAAAAGCAGCAUCUUUCCCCUAAGGCCAAGCAAAUACCUCCCUGGUUAGCUGUCAGCAAAUCUAAGCCUCGUCUGUUUUGAAGGACCACUUCUGCCAGGGAGUCUAUUUGGUCCUGUAAAUCUUUAAUGGUUCCUGAUAGAGUUUGUACAUCAUCUAUAAGUUGUUGAGAUAGGUGACGGUAAGAGUGUAUAGCCGUGCCUAAGCCAGUGGUACCUGUGCCCACAGCAGCUGUUAUUCCAAGGCUGGCAAGGAGUGGUAAGGCCUGUAUUGCCUGCCUGUGUCUUUUGACUAAGGUGUCUAGGCUAGGAAUGGGUGGAGGUUCAUCUCCUGGGACAAUAGUUAUAUCAGGGAGUAAUAAGGCAAGAACACAGCCACCGGUCCAAUUCGCUGGAAGCCUGGGGAAGGCUGAGUUUCCUCCACACAUAAAAACUGUGCCAUUGGGGGGACAAAGAGAUGGGGUGGGUGAGGGAUAAUUUUUUACUGUUGAGCAAUUUCCAAAGGAAGUAACUCCAACAUCAAUGUCAUAGGUAUUAUUCUGCAUCGCGCCUAAAAGACAUGAUGUAAAAGUGCCUAUAGGCUGUACUUUAAAAGGAAAUCCAGGUUGGCAUGUAUUAUCACUGUCUAUGAUAGAAUUAAUAGGAACUGCCAUAGGCAUGAUUGCCCCUGUUGUCAUGCAAAGCCAGCAAUCACCAGCAAGGGUGGGGUUGGAAUUAAGCAAAGAGAAGGUAGUUUUCAAAAUAUCUAAUGUAUUGGUAUCUAAAUCUGGGAGCUGGGAUUUAGGCAGCAUUAAGGGAUGAUAUGUGAGCUCAGGGAUUUGGGGUUUCAAAAGUUUGAUUAUCUGAAGAUGCUUGACAGCAUCAGUGGGUCCUCCACCAUCAGAGACCCCUGUAGGGGCCUUAAUGGGCCAGCAGGAGGGUUUACCAACAGUGCCUUGGCAUCCAGCUGACUGUAACUUGGUAUAUAUGCCUUCUCCUCCCCGGUCAAAGAGGAGGGGGGUAUAAUGAAUAGUGGUCCCCUCUGCUGCAUGAGUUUUAGUUAGGGUGGCUUCAAAAAAUUGUUCUCCCUGCUUGUUAACACAAAUUGAGGCUGACGCAUAACAAGAGACAUGCAUAGCCUGGGUAUGCGUACAAGUUGCAGAACAAUUUUGGAGAGCUUUACUUGUACUGGGGGGAAUAAUCUUUGGCUUGUUAACACAUACCCAUUCAGGCUGAUGAAAUCCUCCGAGUUGAUGGUCAACCUCAGCACGGAGGUAAGCCACCUUAGUCAAGCAGUCAGCAGUCUGGGUCCAACUAGUGGGAGCCUGAGUCCAAGAUCCUCCCCUGCAUUUGCAGGGGGGGCCAAAAAGGUACUUCCUGAUGUUGGAAGGUGGAGGGCUAAGGCCUCCGUAUACAAACCUGUUCAGCGGAAGUGCCUUAAGCAGGAUCCUCACACAGAUUGUUGGCUGCAUCUGCAAAAGAGGAAAAUUUGUCCUCAGGGGGAGGGCCUCCGUCCCUGGGUUGAGGUAAGUCAUUAACCUGUUUAACCAGGCGUUCUGGUAACCAUCUUGGGGCUGCUUGCUCUUGGUCCAAAACACAAGCUGAGCCUCGUCCCCAGAUGAGGACAGGAUCUGGGCCUUUCCAUUUAUUUGUAAGGGGAUCGUGCCACAUUACAGGUGGGCGAACAGAAUUGGACGAGGGAUGCCAGUGUCUGUCUGCGGCCGAAUGGCCUUCACUGUCUAGGGACUUUGCUCAAAUGUCAUUUUCUUUUUUUCGGUGGUGCUGAGAAUUGAACUCAGGGCCUUGUGCAUGCAAGAGAUCUCAGUCCACAGACUGCUGGCUCCAUACCUCAGGGACUGAGGGUAUUGUGUCACCAAGACAGAGGCAAUCUGCAUGUUGGAGCAAGGAAAGGAGCCGAGGACAUUAGAAGAAUUUCUCAAGCCAGAGCCAUCCAGUUUUUUAAUUUUAGGGGCUGGAGAUGUGGCUCAAGCGGUAGUGUGCUCCCCUGGCAUGCAUGGGGCCAAGGUUCGAUCCUCAGCACCACAUACAAACAAAGAUGUUAUGUCCACUGAAAACUAAAGAAUAAAUUAAAAAUUAAAAAAAAAAAGUUUUUUAAUUUUAUCUUUUUACUUGGGUCUUUGAUAGAAAGGAAAAUUUUAUGGUUUGAGACUAUUACAGGUUCUUUAGAGAACAACUCUAGAAGAAGAAAAUGAAGAUGCAGGGCAGAAUAAACUGUGCACCUGAUCUUAUUUCCACAGCCUAAGUAUAUGCUUUCUUUGGAUACUAGAUUUCUAUCCAUAAGAACAAAUAUAUAUUUUAACUGAAUUUUUUAUGGAAUAUAAGUUGACAUAUCUUUCUUUCUACUCUUGCUGUAUAUGAAUAGGUAUGGCCAUUAUUCCUAAAUUAACUCCCCAAUAAAGAACUCAAACAAUGUAUUUGGGAGUGGAUCCUAGAGAUUGAACUCAAGGGCACUUAUGCACUGAACCACAUCCCUUUAAAAUUUUUUUUGAGACAGGGUCUCACUAAAUUGCUGAGGCUAGCCUUGAACUUGCAAUUCUCAUGCCUCAGCCAGGAAAGUCACUAGUAUUACAGGCACAUGUCACCACAUACAGUUCAAACGAUGUAUUUUAAAACUCAGUCAGUUAAAUGGAAUAAUAAUCAGCACAAUAGUUAAAUACAAAAUUAUUUAAAGAAUGUUUGCUUUCUCCUAUAAACUUGAACUUGCUCCAGCUUCCUGUCAGGAGGAGAUUCUAAAACUAUGGCAAAAGUAGAGGUGACUGAAAACAUACCCUUGCUCAUAAAAAAUAGAUAAUUCAGAGUUCAGGAAGCUCAAAGCAGCUGAAUGUGUGGGGAAGCAUUCUGAAAAGGGAGCUAGCAGAGAAAGAGCUUGAGAAAUCUGAGUGCUACUCUGCCCAAAGAUGAGCUUCUUUAAGGCUUUGCAAAAAAGAGUGGGCUGCUGAAAGUACUUUACUGAGGAACUCUAAGACAAACACUUCCCCGAGCUCAUACAGAGUUGAGAAUCAUCCAUGUUUCUACCAAACAAGACCCCUCCUCCUUCAGAUCCUAAAAUCACAGUCUUUUCCCCGUUAGCAUUUUUUUUUUACAUCCCCCCCAUGAAUAUAUUGGGAGUGGACAAGUUUUAGGGAUGUUUUUAAUGUUGUGUGAAUCUGCUUGGGCUGCCUUAAAAAAACCACAGACUUCAUGGCUUUAACAAUAGACAUUUAUUUUCUCUCAGUUCUGAGAAUAGAAGUUCAUGACCAAGGUGCUGGCAAAUUCUACUUCUGGUGAGGUCUUCUUGACUUGCAAACAGCUAUCUUUCCUAGUAUGUCAUUGCAUGGCCUUUCCUCAGGAAAUGCAUUCAGAUAGGGAGCUGGCUGGUGUCUCUUCUUUUAAAGAUAUGAAUCUCAUCAGAUCAGGGCCCCAUCCUUAUGGCCUAAUUUUACCUUAAUUCUUUCAGGGUUGCAUCUCCAAAUAAGCUUCAAAAUAAGUAUUUUGAUGGUGAUCAAGGGACACGAACAUUCUGUCCUUAUCAGAUAUUUGAAAUGAAGCUUCUAGGUUCUGUAUUACUUAUCCUUUUCCCCUCCCAUGAAGCUUCUAUUUCUCCAUCUCUAUGUGGGAGAAUUAUCCCAUUAAGCAAGAAGAGAAAUGUCCCUUGAACAAUACUCCGUUAAUCCAUUGUCUAAGAAGGUAUUCUGUCUGCUACUCAGGGAUUCUAGGAGAAUGGGCUCAGAUGUGAUGGCUGUACAAUUCCAACUCAGUGAAUGAAUGCAGUCAUGUUCUACAGUUUCAGAGUAACAUUCUAUUGAAGAGAAAGGAAACUUGGAAAAGUGUAGGAACCAUGCUCCAUCUUCAUAGGGUAUUAGGACCCUCCCUCAGUAUUGGUAGUUCCUAAGUUUAUGGCUCAGAGUUCAGGAUUACCAGCUCUGCUAGCACCAUCUGAUCAUACUGGAAAGGAGAGAUCAGGUUCCCCUGGAGUCACUGCUGUCUAGGCAACUCAUUUUCCAUCUUGAUGGUUCAAACUCUGUGUAUGGUGGUAGGUGCUUAAGAGCACCUUCUUCAGUACCUACUGUGGAAUUGUGUUAGAAAUGCUCAAAUUCAUAUUUUUCUAAACUGGACAUAAUAGAUAGUGGGUUCUCUGUGAUAAUGAUGAAACAAAUGAGGAUUAGAGAUUGGGCCUCACUGAUAUAGACAAGGAGAAAGAUUGAUUUUGCCUAUCUAUUUAAAAUGGAAAUAUAAAAAUGCAUACCUAAACCUGAAUAUGAUUAUUUUGUUUUUCUAAAGUUAAUUUUAUUUCACAAGUACUAUAUAACAUAUAUUCCUAAAUGAAUUAAUAAGUAAAGUCUCCUUUAAUACACUGAUUCCAAUAUUAGGACUUGUUACCCAAUAAACCAAUAUUAUUAGAUUAGUGCUCACUCUUCCUGGUCAUUUCCUAUGUAAGUACAAAUAUCCCAGUAUUGACAGUUCAUUGGAAUUUGAGUCAUGAAAAUUUCAAAUCUACCUUAAAAAUGAAUACUUUCACAUUGUAUGUGAAUUUUAAGACAAUUUCAAAAUAUUUUAUAAAUAUCUGAUAUCACAAAGGUUAAAAUUCACAUGCUUGGUGAAUUAUAAAUUGAGUUUAUUUCUGCUUGGUGUGGUACUAAGGAGAAAAAUUAUCAUGGCUGUAUCCUAAAAAUAAAUUGUCCUGUUAUUUACCUGCUUUUUAGAUUUCUAAGAUGAUUUAUUGACUUUGGUUUUUAUUUAAUAUCCAGUGUUGUAAUUUAAAAUUACAUAAGAAUGUCACCCAGGUGUUCAUAGGUUAGAUAGGAUACCCAGGGACUGAGAAGAAAUGUACUCUGAUACACUGUUUCAUUGUUUUAUUGAAAUUAAAUGCUUAUAAAAAUAUAAAGCCACAUUAAAAAUAUGUGGGAGUUGUCUGAAUUUAUGUUGUAUAAGAAUACAUCCUCUGGGGGCUGGGACUGUGGUAGAAUGCUUCACUGGGUUCGAUUUUCAGCACUGCUUAUAAAAAAAUAAAAAAUAAAGGUAUUUUUUAAAAAAGAAUGCAUCCUCUUUCAUUCAGUUUCUAAAGGAAAAUUGUUGUGGAAUUAUUUCAUUAAAAUUUUUAGAUAAAGACGCUGGACAGAUACUUCUCAGAAGAAGAUAUACAAUCGAUCCAAAAAUAUAUGAAAAAAAUGUUCAACAUCUCUAGCAAUUAGAGAAAUGCAAAUCAAAACUACUCUAAGAUUUUAUUUCAUUCCAGCCAGAAUUGCAGUUAUUAGGAAUACAAGUAAUAAUAAGUGUUGGCGAGGAUGUGGUUUUCCCUACUCUUACAUUGCUGGUGGGAUUGCUGGUGGUGCAACCAAUCUGGAAAGCAGUAUGGAGAUUCCUUGGAAAACUUGGAAUGGAACCACCAUUUGACUCAGCUAUCCCACUCCCCAGUUUAUACCCAAAGGACUUAAAAACAGCAUACUACAAUGACCCAGACACAUCAAUGUUUAUAGCAGCACAAUUCACAAUAGCUAAAUUGUGGAAAUCAACCUAGAUGGCCUUCAGUAGAUGAAUGGAUAAAGAAACUGUGGUGUAUAUAUACACAAUAGAAUAUUACUAAGCAUUAAAAGAGAAUAAAAUCAUGGAAUUUACAGGUAAAUAGAUGGAGUUAGACUAUCAUGCUAAGUGAAGAAAGCCAGUCCCAAAAACCAAAGGCUGAAUGUUUUUUCUGAUAAGUGGAUGCUGAUCUAUAAUGGGGGUUGUGGGGAGCAUGAGAGGA